rnacentral:lncRNA from 1 species
CAGCUGCUCAUGUCGAUGUUGAGAAAGCAGAGGCUUAUGAGAAGAAACUUAAACAAAUGCCUGACUUAAAAGAUAUUGAUGUGGAUAGUUUAGAGAGGACGUCGGGUGCAAAGCAUGCUGAGGGUGGAUCUCAUAUGAAUACAGCUACCUCUUAUGAAGACAAUAAUAAAGAGAAAACGAAGAAGAAGAAGAGGAAAAGAAAGCCCAAGUACCCCAAAGGGUUCGAUCCUGCAAAUCCUGGUCCCCCGCCAGAUCCGGAGAGGUGGUUACCUAAACGGGAGAGGUCUAGUUUCAGGCCAAAGAGAAAGGAUAAGCGGAUUGCCCAAAUUAGAGGAUCUCAGGGUGCAGUGGCUAAAGAAGCAGGAAAUGCAAACUCAAAAUCUAGCCGAGCAAGUUCCAAAGGGGUGUCUACAGGUCCAGAGCCAUCAAAGCCUUCCUCCAAGUCAUCUAAAAAGAAAUCAAGGAAGUGAGAAAUAUUUUUAGCUAGAGGCGAAUCUGCACUUCUGCUUGCCUUUUUUUUUUUCCUGCAAUAUUUUGUACUUUGGGCAAAAAGCUAUAAGUUAAUUAGGUUAGAACGAUGCCUGAAAAAGAUACUGUUGAAGAUGAGCACUGAAACUGAAUAUUGACUUGCAUCCUGGAUAUAUUUUCAUUUGAAAUCCAUACUUUAAAAUUGGAGUCCUUGGUUUGGUUCAAGUGAAGAAGAAUCGUGCGGGAUAAGUUAUACAGUUCGAGUUAUUUAAUGGAUAGGUCUGUCAUUGUUAUAUAUGAUGAUCCCUGUUUGAUUUUCCCUGGUGAAAGUCAUCAGAUGAUCAGAUAUAAUUGUCGUAGUCCUCUUUGCACCCUACUGAGAGAAAUGGGCAUCAAGAAGUUGGCACACACGUAAUGUAUAUCACUGAAAUUCUAGAAAACAAUAAUUAGCUCCGUCAUAACACAGAUGUGCCGACAAAUUGGACCUGUAAGACAUUAUGUAAAAUUUGCUGAACCUGUAAGACAUUUUGCUACAAUGAUACUGGCUAAUUGGUUGACUAUAAUUUAAAAAUAGUAUGUUAUUAAUAUUUUAAAUUGUUAAAAUAGAAUAUAACAGUUCAAUAUGGUAAUAAAUGAUAUACAAUCUUCCUACAGAUUUUAUUACAGACCUGUAGAGGUUCGACAAAUUUAGCCAUCCAUAGGAGGUUGGCUAAAUUUAUCGACAACCGCUCAUCAUGGUUGGAGUUGAGUUUUUAGAGCUGUUGGCUAAAUCUUUUUAUUUUAAGUAUGCCAACUCAUCUUUUAGCCAAGGGUUUUAGAUGGUUGGAGAUGCUCUUACAAUAAACCAUUAUCUGAUAUUAUUUUAAUUAAAUUUUGGCGAUUGUAUAUACCCUAAAUACCAAAGGUACAUAUUUAUUUAAUUAUAUAAUAUUUAUCAAAAGAAAAAAAAAAAAAAAGGAAACCAAAGAAGAAGAAAAAGGCCGAGAAAGAAAGUAAAUUGGGUAGUAACAGUCCGACCCAUUGGCCACAAUAGGUUAUCAGUCUGACAGCUUCUCUUGAGCACCAAAAUGCCUCCCAAAUCAAAAGAAAAGCCCAAAUCGGCCGCCGCAGCCCCACCGCCGUCGAUCUCAAUCGAAGAUCUCUUCACUUCCAUUAAACGCCACGUCGACAAAGAUGAGUUCGAACAAAUCGUCAAGCUCUCAGAUCAAGGUCAUUUUUCGUUUUAAUUAUGUCUGUGUUUUUGAUUUAUUAUAUGUGAUCUUGAGACUUUGUCUUGUGUCUGGAUAGUGUUAUCUGUAGCUCCUGGUGAUGAAGAUGCGUUACGAUGCAAAGUUGCGGCGUUGAUUAAGUGCGAUAAGAUCGAUGACGCGCUUUCGGUUAUUCGCAAGGUUCCCAAUGAUUUUAGCUAUUUCAAGGUAUUUGUACUUUACUAUUUUCUGUGUUAAUGUCUGAUUGAUUAUAGAGUUUGGUUGAUUUUGGAUAUAGAGGUUUAUUUAUGAACACUUUUUUGGUAUUGGUGCAUAUAUAGUCCGAUUUGUAGUUCAUUGUAUUGUUUAGAAUUAUACUACAUACAUGAUACAUUACGUAAUCUAUCUUUCUGUCCGAGAAAUAUGGACAGUAAAAUUUGUAACCGACUUGUUAACAUAGACACUGACACUUGUCGAAAGAUCACUCAGCAUCAGAAUCGUAAUUGAUAAGGAAAUUAAUUGAGAUAUGCAGAUUAAAAAGUGAAUUGAAAUUGAUAAUAAGCUGGAAGAAAUGAUAAACUGCAAUGAAGGAACAAUAAACUCGACAAGGAAAUGAAAUACAAGCAGUGGACUGGAAGAUAAUGAACAGUGUAAAGAAGGUAGUUUCUUCUUUCAUGGCACUUCAAUGAACAUGGAACACCAGAUCAGUACAUAUACUCAAGCAUGAUGGGUUUGGCAUUGGGUUUGAAGUUCUAACUAAUUAAGGGCUCUUACUUGGUAAAUAGAUCACUUGAAUGAUCUAUUUGUUACAAAAUUGAAAUAGUAGUGAUUAUGGUUAUAAGGGACACAGAUGCAGACCAAGGCGAUUUACAUGCUCAUUCUUAUUGUGUUAAUAUUUCUAUUAUUAAAUAUAUUAUAAAGAAUAGUGACUUGGCACGUACAUGAAGGUGACUUUUCCUGAAUAUUUGUCUGCUUAUGUGGCUACAAAUGCAAUAUUGAGUCAUUUCUUGUUUUGUUUUCGUAUUAUAGGCAUAUUGCUUAUACAGGCAAAAUAAGUUAAAAGAAGCUAUGGAAUCGCUGAAGGGCCUUGAUGAAACUUCUGCAACUAUGCUUUUAGAAUCACAGAUUCUAUUUCGCAUGGGGAAAAUGGAUGCUUCUGUUGAUAUCUACCGGAAACUCCAGAAUUCGAAAAUAGACGCGCUAGAGAUAAAUGUUGUUGCUGGCUUGGUCUCAGCUGGGAAAAGUUCUGAAGUUAAAGGAAUGAUGGAUGCUCUCCGGGUUAAAGCAACAAGCAGCUUUGAGUUGGCAUAUAAUGCUGCCUGUUCACUUAUUGAAGAACACAAGUACACUGAUGCAGAGCAACUUCUGCUCUCAUCUAGAAGGUGAACUUUUAUAGUUGGUAGUUUUCGUGAUCAUUACUAUAUCUUGUAGAUAUUUCAAUGUUUAUAUGUAGUUUGUAUGGUUCAUAUCGUAGUCUUACAGGGUGGUGCUCUUAGGGGUGACAAUUUCAGGUAAUGAGUCGGGUUCGGUCGGGUCGUCCGACGUGGUCUAGUUUUUGGGUCGACACGAUCCGACCCGAAACGGGUUGAAAAUUUCAUCCGAAGCCGACCUGUUUAGUACCCGAUUAACCCGGAUCGGAAAUGACCCGUUUUGACCCGAAAUGUAUUAAAAAUUAAUUAUUUUGAAUUAAAAGUUAUAUUUAUUAUAAAUUUUAAAAAUACAUGUUAAUUUAAUGAGAUAAUAUGUGAAUAGAAAUAUUUUUAAUAGUAUAGAAAGAUAUCAUAAAUGUAUGUAAUUUUGUAAUAUAAAUAUACAUAAUUAACAUACUAUAUUAUAUAUAUAAAUAUUUAGUGUCGGGUUCAAAUACACUGGGUCAACCCGAACCCGACCCGAGUUUUUCGGGUAAAAAAUUAUUUGACCCGAAGUAUAAAAUUUCUAACCUUAAUUCGUACUUUUUCGAGUCGGGUUCGUAUCGGGUUUCGGGUCGUGUCAGAUUUUGCCGCCCCUAGGUGCUCUUAGGGCUUUGUAUCGCUGCAUGUAACCAAGCUAAGUAACUUUUGGUUCCUUGGACGUUGAAACAUGCUCUUAGGGCUUUGUUUCGUUGCCUGUAACCCAACCAAGUAACUUUUGGUUCCUUGGACGUUAAAAUAUGGAUGAGUUACAUUAUUUGGUUAUGUAACUUUCAUACAAGACGUGGGAACUUAUAUUUCUUAAAAUACGAAACUCAGUUACAUAGUCUAUCAACGAUUUUUUGGAGUUACAUAGUGUCAAAUGUUUUAAUCUGUUUUACUGUAUAUUUAUGAUUAGUCGCCGUCUUUUUAUCAGUUAAAUAUUUUUUCUUUUUUAUGGUUAACUAAAAAUGUUUAUAUUUUUUGGUAAAUUACUUUUAAAUUUAUAAAUUUAUAUAUUACUUUUAUAAUAUUUUAUCAUAGAUAUUAAAUAUUGUAAAUAAAAGUUUUAAAUAUAGUUCCCUUUUUAUUUUUUAUUUAAAUAUAUUUAUAAUACUAGUUUAUAUUUACUUUAUUAAGUAUUUGUAUUAUAAAAUUAUUAUUAUCAUUAAAAAUGAAAUUUAUUAAAAGUUGUUUAAUAAUUUAAAAAACAAAUAUAACUUAUAAUUACACAAUGAUAAACCAAAGACGUGUUUAUAAAAAUCCCGGGAAUCUAGGCAUGCAACCUACUUCCGAGGAAUUCUAAGUUUCGGGUAUAACUUCAAAAACUCUGAAACAAAUAAGGCCUAGGUUAAUUGUUGUGCAUAAAAAGAUGUUAAUGUUGUAUAAGAUAUCUUAUCCGAGGCUGUUGGAAUUGUUGAAACUUUGACAAGCUUAUUUAAGUUGAAUGUGGUUCUACUUAGAGUUGGAGUGUCGGCUAGUUCUGAUAAAGACCAUGCUGUUGAACUCUAAUACUAAUUAUAUGUUCAUCAGUAGAGAAUGUAUCUCAUGUUUGCAAUAUCUUUUUGCUUGUGGAAGGAAGUGAUGUAACUUUGGGCGUGUCUAAAUGGCAAAUAUGUCACGUGUAUAUAUCUAAAGAAUUAUCUCUUAAUGUAAAUGAUUUUAUUUUAAGAGCAAAAACAUUAAUCAUGACUUGGUAACCCAAUUUGAAAAUGUCAAACAGUUUUAUACACAUGCAGACAAUUUCAAUUAUACCCCGAACAUUCUUCUGUCUGCAUAUGUCGUCCUGUUACAGGAGGAUAAUGUAUAUAGGAAGUUGUAUAUUUAGCUCCACUGAAUAAUUAUACUACAGGUUUACAGCCGGGGAGUUGUUUUUGCUGCUAUUGUAAUUGGAAUAGGCAAAAAAAAAAAGCAUAUAACUCGUGUGUGAUUCUAGUGUUAUGUACGUCAUACUGCCAGUAUAAUUUAUAAUUUAUUCUUUUCUGCAUACCUGUUUAGGAUAUACACCUCUCUCUCUCUGUACAUACUACAUAAGCUUCAUCACCUAUUAUUUAGAUUUUUAUGUCGUAUCUUUGUGGAAGUUUUUAUUAAGUCUUAUCAUUGCCUUGUCAGAAUGGGACAGGAAACUCUAAUGGAUGAGAGUUUGGCAGAUGACGAAAUUGAAAUUGAACUGGCACCAAUAUCUGUCCAGUUGGCAUAUGUUCAGCAGGUAGGAUGUUGGUUUUAGGCAUUCUUGUAUGUUUCUGUAAUGAUCAUUUGUUUGCUUCAUUAAUAAUUGCUCAAUUCUCAGCUCAUGGGUAAUACAAAGGAAGCUGUUCAGUCAUAUACUGGAAUAAUUAAGCGAAAUCUGGCAGAUGAAGCAACACUGGCGGUGGCCACCAACAACCUUAUUGCUUUGAAAGGUCCCAAAGAUAUCUCAGAUAGCUUGAAGAAGCUUGAUAAGCUUGUAGAGAAAAGUGGGGGGCCUGGGAGCUUCCAGCUUGCUCGUGGUUUAGACUUGAAGCUUUCACCUAAGCAGAAAGAAUCAUUAUACAUUAAUCGAAUGCUGCUGCUACUUCAUUCAAAUAAAAUGGAGCAGGUAUCAUGUGUCUUCCUGCAUUAGAACAUCUUUAGCGCAUAACACCAAAGUAGUGCAAAUUUGUUCUAAAAGCUACACCAGCUCUGAAACCAACUUUAACCCACCAAAUCAACAAAAGGUGUAAACCAAAUUCAAUUAAUGAAUACAAGGGUGCAUUGGGAUGUUGAAAAAGGUUAUAUAUGGUGUGGAAAUUACACCAAAUGAGUAGUGUUACAGUGAAUUCGUUAACAAUGUUCACUUACACCAAAAUGGUGUAAUUUAGUGUCUAGUUGGAGUGGGUGUUACAAUAAAACGAUGCAAAACCGCUAUGGUAUUUUAGUUCCCCAUUGGAGCUGUUCUUAACAUCGAUAUGCUAAUACUCAUAUCAUUCACUAUUGAGUAAUAUCGUCUUAAUGGUAUAGGUCUUUCCUACCUGUCGAUGUGUGUCAGAUCUAUGUUAUUGGUACAGUCUUGGUAAUGAGCCAAGUAAUUAUAGGGAAAACACUUUCACAGUGCGUAUGAAAUUGCACUCCAACUUACAAAUGCAAAUAUGCCAGUUUUUAGGCUAUGGCAUAUGUAUAUUAUUAGGUAAGAUAUUGUGAGGUGCUACCAUAUUGAUAAAGGUGCAUGUCAAAGACCUCUGAGAUUGUUAAUAACUUAGCUUAUGACUGUGUGAUGUCUUGUAUAUAGUUAAAUGAAUAUUUUUUGCAGGCUCGAGAACUUGUUGCUGCCUUGCCAGACUUGUGUCCGGGUAGUGUGGUGCCAGUAUUGCUUCAAGCUGCCGUCUUGGUCAAAGAAAAUAAGGCUGGGAAGGCUGAAGAAAUAUUGGGGCAAUCUGCAGAUAAGUUCCCAGAUAAUUGCAGAGUACUUCACCUUGCAAGGGCCCAGAUUGCUGCUGCUGGUGGUCACCCACAAAUUGCAGUUGCGUCUCUAGAAAAAAUACCUGAUAUUCAACACAUGCCUGCUACAGUGGCAACCCUUGUUGCUCUUAAAGAGCGUGCUGGAGAUAUCGAUGGUGCAGAUGCUGUUUUUGACUCGGCAAUCCGAUGGUGGUCAAAUGCUAUGACUGAAGAAAACAAGCUUAGUGUAAUCAUGCAAGAAGCUGCUGCUUUCAAGCUUAAGCAUGGCCGUAAAGAGGAGGCUGCUCGUUUGUACGAGGAGAUUGUGAAAAGUCAUGGAAGUAUUGAGGCUUUGGUAGGUUUAAUCCAGACAGCUGCUCAUGUCGAUGUUGAGAAAGCAGAGGCUUAUGAGAAGAAACUUAAACAACUGCCUGACUUAAAAGCUAUUGAUGUGGAUAGUUUAGAGAGGACCUCGGGUGCAAAGCAUGCUGAGGGUGGAUCUCAUAUGAAUACAGCUACCUCUUAUGAAGACAAUAACAAAGAGAAAACGAAGAAGAAGAGGAAAAGAAAACCCAAGUACCCCAAAGGUUUCGAUCCUGCAAAUCCUGGUCCCCCGCCAGAUCCGGAGAGGUGGUUACCUAAACGGGAGAGGUCUAGUUUCAGGCCAAAGAGAAAGGAUAAGCGGAUUGCCCAAAUUAGAGGAUCUCAGGGUGCAGUGGCUAAAGAAGCAGGAAAUGCGAACUCAAAAUCUAGCCAAGCAAGUUCCAAAGGGGUGUCUACAGGUCCA